rnacentral:rRNA from 1 species
CAAUAGCGUAUAUUAAAGUUGUUGCGGUUAAAAAGCUCGUAGUUGGAUUUCUGCUGAGAACGACCGGUCCGCCCUUUGGGUGUGUAUCUGGCUCUUUCUUGGCAUCUUCUUGGUGAACGUUGCUGCACUUGACUGUGUGGAGCGCUACCCAGGACUUUUACUUUGAGGAAAUUAGAGUGUUUCAAGCAGGCAUACGCCUUGAAUACAUUAGCAUGGAAUAAUAACAUAGGAUCUUUGUCCUAUUUUGUUGGUUUCUAGGGCUGAGAUAAUGAUUAAUAGGGAUAAUUGGGGGCAUCUGUAUCAACGCGUCAGAGGUGGAAUUCUUGGAUUGCGUUGCGACAAACUACUGCGAAAGCAUUUGCCAAGGAUGUUUUCAUUGA